rnacentral:rRNA from 1 species
UACGUAGGGUGCAAGCGUUUGUCCGGAAUUAUUGGGCGUAAAGAGCUCGUAGGCGGUUUGUCGCGUCGACUGUGAAAACCUACAGCUUAACUGUGGGCUUGCAGUCGAUACGGGCAGACUUGAGUUCGGUAGGGGAGACUGGAAUUCCUGGUGUAGCGGUGAAAUGCGCAGAUAUCAGGAGGAACACCGAUGGCGAAGGCAGGUCACUGGGCCGCAACUGACGCUCAUGCACGAAAGCGUGGGGAGCAAACAGG